rnacentral:lncRNA from 1 species
AUGCUUCUCCAUGUUGGUAUGUCAGCAGAGCAAUUUCCAGAGACUUUAAAUGAUUGUUUUUAUAACUUUCUCCAGGUGAACGGUUGUUUGCUAGGGAGAACAUCUGCUGCGGUCCUCACGCUCCAUCCCAGAGGUCAGUCUCCUGCAGUUAAUCCUAAUACAAGAAAUACAAGAGAAGCCCACCAUGUCCUGUCAAGUGAGAGCCGCCCAGGUGUGACCAGCCCACCUGACCACCAUGCACUGGAGAGGCUGGAGCUAACCAUGGGGCCCAGGCUUUAAUGUGGGUGCUUCCGCCAGAGGUGAGAGCUAUUGGGGUGUCCUCAGAUGCAAAGGACAGUAAUUAAUGCAUGUUAUUUUUCCUUUGAUCACUAUUUCUGCGCUUUAAAAAGAACUUUAAUCUUUUCUCAUGGAUAAUUUCAAACACACGAAGAAUAGAGAGAAGAGUAAUCCUUAUAUACUCCUUACACAGAACAAAUCUCAUUUUAAUAGAAAUUCCAUGUCAUAUUAUUUCAGCAAUAACUGCUUGCGUAUGUCAGUCUAGC